UACGGAGGGUGCGAGCGUUGUCCGGAAUCACUGGGCGUAAAGGGCGCGUAGGCGGCAUGCCAAGCGUGUGGUGAAAACCCGGGGCUCAACUCCGGGCCUGCAGCCGAUACGGGCAGACUAGAGUUCGGCAGGGGAGACUGGAAUUCCUGGUGUAGCGGUGAAAUGCGCAGAUAUCAGGAGGAACACCGGUGGCGAAGGCGGGUCUCUGGGCCGAUACUGACGCUGAGGAGCGAAAGCGUGGGGAGCGAACAGG
rnacentral:rRNA from 1 species